AACGAACGCUGGCGGCAGGCCUAACACAUGCAAGUCGAACGCCGUAGCAAUACGGAGUGGCAGACGGGUGAGUAACACGUGGGAACGUACCUUUCGGUUCGGAAUAACUCAGGGAAACUUGAGCUAAUACCGGAUACGUGCGAGAGCAGAAAGAUUUAUCGCCGAAAGAUCGGCCCGCGUCCGAUUAGCUAGUUGGUGAGGUAAUGGCUCACCAAGGCGACGAUCGGUAGCUGGUCUGAGAGGAUGAUCAGCCACACUGGGACGUGAGACACGGCCCAGACUCCUACGGGAGGCAGCAGUGGGGAAGUAUUGGACAAUGGGCGGCAAGCCUGAUCCAGCCAUGCCGCGUGAGUGAUGACGGCCCGUACGGGUUGGUUAAAGACUCUUUCGUCCACGGGACGGAUAAUAGACGGUACC
rnacentral:rRNA from 1 species